rnacentral:rRNA from 1 species
UACGUAGGUGGCAAGCGUUGUCCGGAUUUACUGGGCGUAAAGCGCGCGCAGGCGGCCCUGUCAGUCCGUGGUGAAAUCUCACGGCUCAACCGUGAGAGGUCCUUGGAUACUGCUGGUCUUGAGGGGCUCAGAGGAGAGUGGAAUUCCGGGUGUAGUGGUGGAAUGCGUAGAUAUCCGGAGGAACACCAGUGGCGAAAGCGGCCUCCUGGACUGCACCUGACGCUGACACGCGAAAGCGAGGGGAGCGAACGGG